UGUGGGAGCGAGCCUGCUCGCGAUGACGGCGGCACAUCCAACCUUUCUGCCGGCUGGACCACUGCUAUCGCGAGCAGGCUCGCUCCCACA
rnacentral:misc_RNA from 1 species